rnacentral:rRNA from 1 species
AUUGAACGCUGGCGGCAGGCCUAACACAUGCAAGUCGCGCGAGCGGCGGACGGGUGAGUAAUGUAUGGGGACUGCCCGAUAGAGGUGGAUAACUACUGGAAACGGUAGCUAAUACCGCAUACUAUCGGAUAACCCAUAUGGGAUUAGCUAGUAGGUGAGGUAAUGGCUCACCUAGGCGACGAUCCCUAGCUGGUCUGCGAGGAUGGUCAGCCACACUGGGCAGGGGACACGGCCCAGGCACCCAGUGAGGCAGCAGUGGGGAAUAUUGCACAAUGGGCGAAAGCCUGAUGCAGCCAUGCCGCGUGUAUGAAGAAGGCCCUAGGGUUGUAAAGUGCUUUCAGUCGGGAGGGGUUACCGGCAGAAGAAGCACCGGCUAACUCCGUGCCAGCAGCCGCGGUAAUUC